UUAUGGCCAUAUCACGUUGAAACACUGGUUCUCAUAUGAUUACCAAAGUUAAGCAAUGUUGAGUUUGGUCAGUACCUAGAUGGGGGACAGUUGGGAAUACCAGGUAAUGUA